rnacentral:rRNA from 1 species
CCCUUAGAUGUUCUGGGCCGCACGCGCGCUACACUGACGAUGGCAACGAGUUUUUCCUUCGCCGAAAGGUGUGGGUAAUCUUUUGAAACAUCGUCGUGCUGGGGAUAGAUCAUUGCAAUUUUUGAUCUUGAACGAGGAAUUCCUAGUAAGCGCGAGUCAUCAGCUCGCGUUGAUUACGUCCCUGCCCUUUGUACACACCGCCCGUCGCUACUACCGAUUGAAUGGUUUAGUGAGGACUCCUGAUUGGCGCCGCCGCCCCGGCAACGGAGCAGCGGACUGCCGAAAAAUUGUUCAAACUUGAUCAUUUAGAGGAAGUAAAAGUCGUAACA